rnacentral:rRNA from 1 species
GACGAACGCUGGCGGCGUGCUUAACACAUGCAAGUCGAACGAAGAGCGAUGGAAGCUUGCUUCUAUCAAUCUUAGUGGCGAACGGGUGAGUAACGCGUAAUCAACCUGCCCUUCAGAGGGGGACAACAGUUGGAAACGACUGCUAAUACCGCAUACGAUCCAAUCUCGGCAUCGGGACUGGAUGAAAGGUGGCCUCUAUUUAUAAGCUAUCACUGAAGGAGGGGAUUGCGUCUGAUUAGCUAGUUGGAGGGGUAACGGCCCACCAAGGCGAUGAUCAGUAGCCGGUCUGAGAGGAUGAACGGCCACAUUGGGACUGAGACACGGCCCAGACUCCUACGGGAGGCAGCAGUGGGGAAUCUUCCGCAAUGGACGAAAGUCUGACGGAGCAACGCCGCGUGAGUGAUGACGGCCUUCGGGUUGUAAAGCUCUGUUAAUCGGGACGAAUGGUUCUUGUGCGAAUAGUGCGAGGAUUUGACGGUACCGGAAUAGAAAGCCACGGCUAACUACGUG